rnacentral:rRNA from 1 species
UACGUAGGGCGCAAGCGUUGUCCGGAAUUAUUGGGCGUAAAGAGCGCGCAGGCGGUCGUUCAAGUCGAGUGUGAAAGCCCCCGGCUCAACUGGGGAGGGUCAUUCGAUACUGAUCGACUCGAAGGCAGGAGAGGGAAGUGGAAUUCCCGGUGUAGUGGUGAAAUGCGUAGAUAUCGGGAGGAACACCGGUGGCGAAGGCGGUUCUCUGGGCAUUACCUGACGCUGAGGAGCGAAAGUGUGGGGAGCGAACAGG